rnacentral:rRNA from 1 species
UACGUAGGGUCCGAGCGUUGUCCGGAGUUACUGGGCGUAAAGCGCGCGCAGGCGGCUCGUCAAGCAUGGCGUGAAAGCCCCCGGCUCAACCGGGGAGGGUCGUCGUGGACUGGCGAGCUUGAGGGCGGUAGGGGCUGGUGGAAUUCCCGGUGUAGUGGUGAAAUGCGUAGAGAUCGGGAGGAACACCCGUGGCGAAGGCGGCCAGCUGGGCCGUCCCUGACGCUGAGGCGCGAAGGCGUGGGGAGCGAACGGG